UCAAGUUUCUGUAUGUGCAUUUAAUAGAGGAAAACUGAAAGUUUUGGCCACAGCUUUUGAUACAACAUUGGGAGGCAGAAAAUUUGAUGAGGUGUUGGUAAAUCACUUCUGUGAAGAAUUUGGAAAGAAAUACAAGCUAGACAUAAAAUCUAAAGUUCGUGCUUUAUUGCGACUCUCUCAAGAGUGUGAGAAACUCAAGAAAUUAAUGAGUGCGAAUGCUUCAGACCUCCCUUUGAGUAUUGAAUGCUUUAUGAACGAUAUUGAUGUAUCGGGAACCAUGAAUAGGUAACCAUAUUAAUUCUUUUUUGGUUCUUUUUUCGGAGCUGGGGACCGAACCCAGGGCCUUGCGCUUCCUAGGCAAGCGCUCUACCACUGAGCUAAAUCUCCAACCCCAACCAUAUUAAUUUUUAAUGUUAAAUGAACUGAACCGUGACCUUCCAUUUUGUUUAACUGACUAAUGAAAUCAUGGCGGUUAACAUGUUAAAAAUUACAGGCCAUUUAGGACCCAGUUUUCAUGUAAAGGUUGUAUCUGGUGGUUCUAAUAAUGGAAACCGAAACUUUAUUCUGGUAACUUAAAUAUUCCUGAAAGUCACUAGUUAACUUAAAUAUGUUUUAGACACAAAUUACUGGUUUUCAUAAAACUAGUGAACUGUUUUAAUGCAGAAAUAGGAUGAAUUUAACUUAGACACCAAUUUUAAAACAUGUUCUUUUUGAGUAGUUGAGGAUCAUCUGAGGGCAGUAUCCCUUUUGUACAGCACUGCAAGAAUUCUGGGUAACUGACAUUUAAGAUUAUUUCAGAAACACUCAGUGUUAUUGUUUCCUGAUUGUGUUGCUUGGG
rnacentral:lncRNA from 1 species